rnacentral:lncRNA from 1 species
UUCCAUUCACUUCUUCUAGCUUAUUCUGUCAUCUUAGUUUCUUUCCCAAGAUCUAGCCUAACAGUUAUGAAUCUGAAAUCUGGUUUAUAUUACUUAUGAGACCUGGGGCAAAACAAUAACUUCUCCAGGUCUCAGUUUCCUCAAUUGGAAAAUGGAUUAGAUGGAUCUCGAAGUCCUUGUCAGCUUUGAAUCUAGGAACCUAAAAUCAUUCCUAGCCAACCGUAUUUCUCACUGAUCAUCCAAUAAGGCUUCUUUACUCCAAUCAGACAGACUUAUAUACUCAAUGUCCCCAAAUAUCUCAUGAUGAUUUUCAACACUCUGCUUUUGCUCAGUUUAUAUCUACCAACCAUUUUAACUCUUACAUCCUGAAGGAGCUCACAGUCCAAUGGAGGGCAAGGAAACAAUUAUGUGCAAAUAAACUACAUACAAGAUAAAUGGAAAAUGACCAGCAGAGGGAAAGGACUAGAAUUAAGAGGGAAUGGAACCAGCUUCCUGUACAGUUGAGCUGGGAUAAUAUGGAAGCCAGAAGGUAGAGAUGAGGAGAAAGAGCAUUCCAGGCUUGAGGGGACAAUGAGGAAAAAUUCCCAGAGCUAACAAUAGCAUCUGUCUUGUUUGAGGAAUAGUGAGGAAGUCAGUGUCACACAAUGAAAGGUGGGGGUGGGGGUGGGGGUGAGGUUUUUUCAUUUAUAAAAUCUUUGUGUUAGACUAGCUGGUUCCUAAAGUCCCUUCUGUUUAGAUACAUCAGACACUCUAAAUAAAUAAAAUACUAAUGAAGAUUGCUUGAUUCA